UGCUAAAGGCACUGAACAGCGGUUACUGUG
rnacentral:piRNA from 1 species